GGCUCACCGCAAAUUCCACCUCCCAGGUUCAAGAGAAUCGCCUGAACCCGGGAGGCAGAGGUUGCAGUGAGCCGAGAUCAUGCCAUUGCACUCCAGCCUGGGUGACAAGAGAGAAACUCCAUCUCAAAACAAAACAAAACAAAACAAAACAAAAAAACACAUAGCA